UUGGGUAUAGCUCAGUCAUAGAGCACAUGCUUAGCAUGAAUGAGGGCCUGGGUUCAAUCCCCAGUAGCUCAA
rnacentral:tRNA from 1 species